rnacentral:rRNA from 1 species
CACGUAGGGUGCGAGCGUUGUCCGGAAUUAUUGGGCGUAAAGAGCUCGUAGGCGGCUUGUCGCGUCGAAUGUGAAAACUCGGGGCUCAACUCCGAGCUUGCAUUCGAUACGGGCAGGCUAGAGUUCGGUAGGGGAGACUGGAAUUCCUGGUGUAGCGGUGAAAUGCGCAGAUAUCAGGAGGAACACCAAUGGCGAAGGCAGGUCUCUGGGCCGAUACUGACGCUGAGGAGCGAAAGCGUGGAGAGCGAACAGG